ACGGAUGGCCAUGCGGCGCAUUAGCUAGUUGGCGGGGUAACGGCCCACCAAGGCGACGAUGCGUAGGGGUUCUGAGAGGAAGGUCCCCCACACUGGUACUGAGACACGGACCAGACUCCUACGGGAGGCAGCAGUGAGGAAUAUUGGUCAAUGGGCGCGAGCCUGAACCAGCCAAGUCGCGUGAGGGAAGACGGUCCUAUGGAUUGUAAACCUCUUUUGUCGGGGAGCAAAAGGCGCCACGUGUGGCGUUCCGAGAGUACCCGAAGAAAAAGCAUCGGCUAACUCCGUGCCAGCAGCCGCGGUAAUACGGAGGAUGCGAGCGUUAUCCGGAUUUAUUGGGUUUAAAGGGUGCGCAGGCGGAAGAUCAAGUCAGCGGUAAAAUUGAGAGGCUCAACCUCUUCGAGCCGUUGAAACUGGUUUUCUUGAGUGAGCGAGAAGUAUGCGGAAUGCGUGGUGUAGCGGUGAAAUGCAUAGAUAUCACGCAGAACUCCGAUUGCGAAGGCAGCAUACCGGCGCUCAACUGACGCUCAUGCACGAAAGUGUGGGUAUCGAACAGGAUUAGAUACCCUGGUAGUCCACACAGUAAACGAUGAAUACUAAUUGUUCGGGGAGAAUGAUCCCUGA
rnacentral:rRNA from 1 species